GACGAACGCUGGCGGCGUGCUUAACACAUGCAAGUCGAACGGAAAGGCCCUGCUUUUGUUGGGUGCUCGAGUGGCGCACGGGUGAGUAACACGUGAGUAACCUGCCCUUGACUUUGGGAUAACUUCAGGAAACUGGGGCUAAUACCGGAUAGGAGCUCCUGCAGCAUGUUGGGGGUUGGAGAGAUUCGGCGGUUGGGGAUGGACUCGCGGCUUAUCAGCUUGUUGGUCGGGUAGGGGCUUACCAAGGCUUUGACGGGUAGCCGGCCUGGGAGGGUGACCGGCCACAUUGGGACUGAGAUACGGCCCAGACUCCUACGGGAGGCAGCAGUGGGGAAUAUUGCACAAUGGGCGGAAGCCUGAUGCAGCAGCGUCGCGUGCGGGAUGACGGCCUUCGGGUUGUAAACCGCUUUCGCCUGUGACGAAGCGUGAGUGACGGUAAUGGGUAAAGAAGCACCGGCUAACUACGUG
rnacentral:rRNA from 1 species